UGCAAGUGAUGUUCAUUUCACGAUGGUCUUCUAAGCCUUACGGUUGUGAUGAAACCGCCUAAUGGCAACAGACUGAUGCAGUCCC
ensembl:snoRNA small nucleolar RNA SNORD35